rnacentral:rRNA from 1 species
UUGCUUUUAACACUUAGUGGCGGACGGGUGAGUAAUGUAUGAGCAACCUGCCUUUCAGAGGGGGACAACAGUUGGAAACGACUGCUAAUACCGCAUAAUGUAUACCGGAGGCAUCUCUGGUAUACCAAAGGAGCAAUCCGCUGAAAGAUGGGCUCAUAUCUGAUUAGUUAGUUGGUGAGGUAACGGCUCACCAAGACUGCGAUCAGUAGCCGGACUGAGAGGUUGAACGGCCACAUUGGGACUGAGAUACGGCCCAGACUCC